UUAUUCUUAAUCAUCUCAGGUGUUAAAGAGCAAAGCAGAUCUUUUUCUCUGAGGCCAAGACUCAUCCAAGGGAGCAUGACCUUCUUUGGGGUGGAGUAUUUACUGCUGAGUCAUGGGAGACAAUUAAAGCAAAGAAACCUUACAAGCAGGUGGCCAACACUUGCUUAGUGGUCAUCCACUUGGGCUGUUGGAUGGAAUUUUAUGGCAUCGAAAUGGAGGAGAUAAAGGUGAAAUGAUCUUCAAGGUCCCUUACAACUCACUUCUGCUGUAGCCAUGAAAAGAGUAUGCCUUGAGUAAGCUGCUGGCCUAAAGAGGAUGAGAGAUGUGUGGAGCAGAGAUGAACUGAAUCCACAGCCUGGAACCAAGCCCAGCCAAGAUCAGCCAAUCUCUAGCUGACCCCAGGAU